rnacentral:rRNA from 1 species
AGUGAACGCUGGCGGUAGGCCUAACACAUGCAAGUCGAACGGCAGCACAGUAAGAGCUUGCUCUUACGGGUGGCGAGUGGCGGACGGGUGAGGAAUACAUCGUAAUCUACUUUUUCGUGGGGGAUAACGUAGGGAAACUUACGCUAAUACCGCAUACGACCUACGGGUGAAAGCAGGGGAUCUUCGGACCUUGCGCGAUUGAAUGAGCCGAUGUCGGAUUAGCUAGUGGGCGGGGUAAAGGCCCACCAAGGCGACGAUCCGUAGCUGGUCUGAGUGGAUGGUCAGCGACACUGGAACUGAGACACGGUCCAGACUCCUACGGGAGGCCGCAGUGGGGAAUAUUGGACAAUGGGCGCAAGCCUGAUCCAGCCAUACCGCGUGGGUGAAGAAGGCGUUGGGGUUGUAAAGCCCUUUUGUUGGGAAAGAAAAGCAGCAGGUUAAUACCCCGCUGUUCUGACGGUAACCAAAGAAUAAGCACCGGCUAACUUCGUG